rnacentral:rRNA from 1 species
AUGGAGUACAACCCUAGGCUUGCUGCAGGUGUUUUUUUGUGUGACCACCGACGCCACAGUUUCGAGCAUUUUGACGCCACAGUUGUGGACAUGUGGUGCUCGAUCUUGUGCCCUGGUUCUCGACAUAUACUGGAGAAGCGAGUUUGUUUACUUGUCCUGCAUCCAUUUUCAGCUUGUGCAUUUGCUGUUGGUCUGUACUUCUUGCUUUUUGCACCACGAUCAACAUACGGAAGUUUACUCCUGCUGGUGAUUUGUCGACCAUGCUUUUGUUUUCGUUCUGGAGCUUUUAGCCCCAUGAAAUGA